AUGCUCCAAACAGUAACAUAUUCACAGUUGAAUUUUCAACUGAUGAUGAUGCAGGGGAGGACGUCCAGGUGGUUGGCAAGACACCCAACCAAGGUUACCACAAUGGUAGUGAUCAUCAUGGUGCCGACACCGACGACGACACGCAUGGGUCGCAAGGUGAUAGCGACAACGACGCGCAGGACACGGGCUGAGAUCUCAGCAACGACAUCGACAACGAGGCACAUAGUGAUGAUGACAAUCAAGAUGAUGGUCACGGUCACGAUGACUACGCCGACGACGCAGAUGUCGACAACGAGGAUGCCAACGAUCCAGCAUCUACCAUGCCGAGACUCAACGGUCUUACUCAAGUGCAUCGACGCCGACACAAUUUGUGUCGCCUCCUUCGCAAGCCACAACAGAUUCUUCCGGGCCUCGUCGCUACAAGACCCUCAAGAAAGUCUACAAGUACGCAAAGCCAGUUACACUCGAGUACUCCGAUUUGUGUUUACUCGGAGUUGA
rnacentral:rRNA from 1 species